UGAUAGAGGCGCGGCUGUAAAGAGUACCUGCUUUUCAAAGGCAAUGGAAUCAGCGAAAGGUGCAGUCGCCGAGAGGUUGCUGUGCUGCCUGGCAUGGCAAUGCUCGGGCUGUAGGAGAACAUCCUACAGACUGUCGUCCACUAGAGGACGGAGAGCUAUCA
rnacentral:ncRNA from 1 species